rnacentral:rRNA from 3 species
GGGUUGUGAGGUUAAGCGACUAAGCGUACACGGUGGAUGCCCUGGCAGUCAGAGGCGAUGAAGGACGUGCUAAUCUGCGAUAAGCGCCGGUAAGGUGAUAUGAACCGUUAUAACCGGCGAUUUCCGAAUGGGGAAACCCAGUGUGACUCGUCACACUAUCAUUAACUGAAUCCAUAGGUUAAUGAGGCGAACCGGGGGAACUGAAACAUCUAAGUACCCCGAGGAAAAGAAAUCAACCGAGAUUCCCCCAGUAGCGGCGAGCGAACGGGGAGGAGCCCAGAGCCUGAAUCAGCAUGUGUGUUAGUGGAAGCGUCUGGAAAGG